AGCGAACACUGGCGGCAGGCCUAACACAAGCAAGUCGAACGAACCCUUCGGGGUUAGUGGCGGACGGGUGAGUAACACGUGGGAACGUGCCUUUAGGUUCGGAAUAACUCAGGGAAACUUGUGCUAAUACCGAAUGUGCCCUUCGGGGGAAAGAUUUAUCGCCUUGAGAGCGGCCCGCGUCUGAUUAGCUAGUUGGUGAGGUAAUGGCUCACCAAGGCUACGAUCAGUAGCUGGUCUGAGAGGAUGACCAGCCACAUUGGGACUGAGACACGGCCCAAACUCCUACGGGAGGCAGCAGUGGGGAAUCUUGCGCAAUGGGCGAAAGCCUGACGCAGCCAUGCCGCGUGGAUGAUGAAGGUCUUAGAAUUGUAAAAUCCUUUCACCGGUGAAGAUAAUGACUGUAGCCGGAGAAGAAGCCCCGGCUAACUUCGUGCCAGCCGCCGCCGUAACAC
rnacentral:rRNA from 1 species